UGGCGGGUCGGCGCCGCGCCAAAGGGCUGCGGGCCAGGGGCUGCGCCCGGCGCCAGGGAGAGCACCGCCGAGGUCACCUCUCCAGCCCUGGCCCCACGAGGAACGCGCACCCCGGGCUCCAUGGUCAGGGAUGAUCGCGGGGCGCGGCCGCGGAGAACCACCGGCCGCGGGAUGCCGCGUGGCCAGCGCCGCCCGCCGCGAACGCGAUAAGCGUUCAGAGCUGUUCUUAAGGAUGCCUUAGGCGGUGCUGUGUUCUGGGAUGUUUUGAAAGACUCCACAGUCUGGGUUCAGAACUGCAGUCCAGGAAAUCGGCUCACCCAAACUUCUCCAAUAGAAAAGCCUUUGAGAAACCAGGAACCUGGUGGCCGACAGCUGUGAGCAAAACCACUGCUUCUUGUUGCCAGCUGUGUAAUCCGGCACACUUCAGCGAUGUUAAGAAGGGCUGGGCUCCCGGCUAAACUCCACCCUUAAGCCUGGAACCGCAGCCCUAAGUGAAAACAGUGCCCAGAUGUUGCCUUUUUGGCCUGCCCCACUCCUAUCUUGUACCCACAAAAGACUUCGGCUGGGAGAGCAACACAAGCAACUGAGCGUUGAGGAUACGGCUUGCUGAGCCGCAAGCAGAGAAGCAACUUGGCGUCCACACUAUGGAUAAACACAACUAACUUCAUCCGAUGUGGCUUCCAAGAGGAGCCCGCUUGGGUAUCAGGGAAAGAGCACCUCCCUUUCCAGCCUCCUUUUCUGCUGACAGCCACCCACGGCUCAAUAAAGUCUUCCACAUUCAUCAUCUUUCAAAGAGAUCGUGUCACCUGAUUCUUCCUGG